CGGACACACCGCAGCGAGUCACCUGUAGCGCGACAUCGCAGUCGCUAACCCAUUUUCUACUGGCAGGUCACGGGCGUGGUCCUUCCUUUGGUCAUUUGCAUUCUCACCAUCAGCUUCCCGAGCUGGAAACACUAGGAUCUAUGCUGGACAGCCCCCACAAUGGCCUGGCGUUUCAACUUUCCGAAUGGAUCUCAGAAAUCAUUUUCAAAACUGGACAGGAAUGAGGAUAAGUCCCUUCUGAAAACCGAGAUGACAGAGGAACACAGAUGAGCGGAGACCUCCACGGCGGCCAAGAGGUCUGGUACCUUCCGAACGAGCACUUUGUCUUAAAGUCUUUGUACUGGAUUUGGAGAUGUGUGUGGAAGGUCCCACCCAUGCGAUGCACUUUUUUUUCUCCAAAUACAAGAUAUGCCACACAAAAGUCUCAUAUUUCUAUUAAAGUUGUGACAGGGGAGAAUUAA